GAAAAACGGACCCCAUAGGUUUUAUUCUGUUCGACGUUUCGUAAACGACCAAGCGAGCACGCGGGGGCACGAGCCGGCGAACGGAAGCCAGGGAAAACACCGAAAGAAGUAUCUAAUCUAAUCCAGAAAUACUGUAGCAGGUCGUGUGCGUAUGGUAUUGGCCUGAUUCUUCGAAUUUAUUUAUGAGCAAACGAAGAGAUCAUCAUUAUUCUCGUUAUAACUGUUGCACGAAUCAUGGAAUACAAAUUAGUAAC